UAAAACCCAAAACCUAAAAUCAACCUAGCCCAACAUCCAAGCCCAAUCCCAAAACCCUAGACUCCCACUUGCCUCUUCCCAUUCUCCCAUGUUGUCUGCCACCAGCACCACUCCCACUCUCCCAUGCUGUCUGCCACCACCAUGCCUUUUGCCGCACCUGCAAACAAGCAAAGGAAAAGGACAAAAAAUGGAGCAAUAAACAUUAACAGAAUAUUGUAUUUUUGGCUAUAAAAGCCACAAGCAAAAUCGGACCAAAAAAAAAAAAGAAGAGAAACAAAAAAAAAGAGAAGGGGACUUUUGUAACAAAAAAGAGAAGAUUCGGCUUUUGAAAAAAUUGAAAGAAAUAAAAAAGGGGCUUUAGAAGGUGAUUCACCUUGUUUUUUUUCGUUUUCUUUAUUUUCGUUCUAUUUCGGUUUUUCUAUAGUAUUUCUUUCUCUUUUUUAUUAUCAACACACAUAUAUAUAAGAUAAAAAAAAUAAAAGUAAAAAGGAGUUUACCUGUUUCCGGCGGCGGUGGAAAGAGGAAGAACCGAAAGGUCUCUUUCGAUUUUGGCCCUUUUCGCCGGGAUUUCGGCUUUUCUAACCCCAGAUCUGGACCCUAUUCGCAAAAAGGAGAAAAAGGGAGCUUUUUUUGGUUUUCCAGCCACCGCGAACGGCGGCGUCGUCACCGGCGUCCGGCGACCGGUGCGGUGGUCGAUGGCCGGCAAAGGGGGCUCUUCCUCUCUUUUUACGGACACAAGAACAAUAAAAACAUAAACUUUGAAUCGGAGAAGUAAUUUUCAUUUCUUUAUUUUUGUGUGUUUUUACAUCUAGUUUGAUUUCUUUUUAUUUCUUUCUACUUACGAAAAUAAAAACAAAAGAAAUAAGGAGAGGAGAAACUCACCGGAGUUGGCCGUGACCGUGCCGCCGGGGUUUUUCUUCCAUCGUCGGCCGUCGGUCUUGGUGGCGUGGUGGCACUCAAGGUGUUAAGAAACCCAAGUGUUGGGUGUUUAAAAAAAAUGGUGGUUUGAAAAAAAGCAGAGCCUUUUUCCUCUAGCAAAUUCAAAAAGUGAAAGAAUAAAAAUAUAAAACAUUUUUUGUCUUUUUUUUCAAUCAUGAACGGUGCAUUAGUGGGAAAUCUUGCACAUGCUUGUCCUUAAUGGGUAAUUUAUGCAUUUAGUCCCUCCAUCUUGCGUUGAAAUGCAAUCAAACCUUUUAUUUUUUUUGAUUUGGGCCGCGAGUUUUGUUUCUGUUUCAAUCAGGUCCUUUGACCAUGUAUGGUCCUUUGCGCUGAAACGUUGCACUCUAGGACUAGGGAAUAUUUCCCUUUUCAGUCCUUCCCUUUUCGCGCGCCUCACAUUUUAAUCCUUUACUCUAUUUCAUUUUUGAUUUCAGCCCUGAGAUUUCGUUUCCGUUUUGAUUUAGUCCUAUUAUUAUUAUUAUUAUUAUUAUUAUUAUUAUUAUUAUUAUUACCUAUUUGUUUAUAUUUAUUUUAUUUAAUUUUCGGCACAUAUAUACAUAUACAUGCAUAUAUUUUUGUGAUAUACAUACAUUGUUUUUAUAACAUAUAUACUUAUAUAGUUUAUAUAUUUUACAACUUAUGUACAUAUCUAUAUAUCUAUAUAUAUAUUUUCAUUUUCCUAAAUAUAUACAUAUUUAUAUAUAAUCUUUAUAGUUUAAAAUAUACUUUUUUUAUAAAUCCGUAUAUACACACAUAUUACUAUUAAUUUAUAUACAUACAUAUCCUUUUAUUUUAUAAGUAUAUAUAUUUUAUAUGCACGUACAUACAUAUUUUUGUAUAUCUUAAUUUACAUAAAUAUAUAUAUACAUUUUCAAUAUAUUUUUUUAACAUGUAUCAAAAUUAACGUGUUUAUUCGUAUACAUACAUAUAUUUUCAUUAUUUUUAAACUUUAAUUUGUACAUACAUACUUUCUUUUAUUUUUUAACAUAUAUAUGUACUUACUUUUAUAUGUAUUUUAUUAUUUUCAUAUUCCAUAGUUUUAUACACCCAUAUAUAUGUACAUAUUUUUAUAUAUACACAUUUAUCGUUUCUUUUAUAUAUUAAAACAUACUUUAUACAUUUUGUUAAUUUAUAUAUAUACAUAUUUUAGUUUAUGUCUAUAUAUAUCUUUUUAUAUUUAAUGGUAUUUGUUACUUAUUUAUUUCAUUUUCGUCAUUAUGAAUGUUUUAAUUUAUUUGUUUAUAUAUAUUGUUAUUUUAUAUGAUUGUAGGUAUGACUUCUAUUUAUUUUAUAUUGUUGCUAUUGCUCGUAUUAUUUUUUAUUUUUAUGUGUAUUAUGAUUUUACCACGUAUAACAACAAUGUAAUUUGCUUUCACAUUUUUUACUACGAUUUUCGUGUUUUAUUUUACUCGAUAUAACAAAAUUUGUUUUAAAAAUAUUUCGUGUUUAGAUUCGAAAGGAUCGUACUCUAACUUACUGGGUUUCGAUUUUCAUAAUAAAUCUAAAUACACGAAUCUUUUCAAACUCAAGUUUUUAAACGAUCUCGGGAAUUAAGAAAAGAUCGUGCCCUAACUUACUGGGCCUGAUUUAUUUCUAAAACCAAGAUAAUAAAAUAUCUUUUAAAUAAGCAUUUUUCAUCCGCGUAUCGGGAAUUUGAGACAUUGUGUCCUAACUUACUAGAUAUGAUUCUCUUUCUCGAAUAACGUGAAAUAUCCCCUUUUUCCUGAAAAUUUUUAACGUUUUAAUACAAGGGUCGUAUUUUUAAAAUUCUUCAAGGUUCUCAAUUUUUGACAUUAAGACAUUAAGUAAUCAACUAGGUACCAAUUUUGGGCGUAUCGAGGGUGCUAAUCCUUCCUCGUGCGUAACCGACUCCCGAACCCGUUUUUCUAAAUUUCGUGGACCAAACUUGUUGUUUUAAUAAAAUCAAACCGUUUAUUAAAAACAACCCCUCUUUGAGGUGAUCCAAUCGCACCUCAUAAAAAAAGAGGAUUACAUUGCUCGGUUCGUCUCACAACUGACAGAUAAAUGUGAUCCAGUAUUCCGGCUCUUAAAGAAACAUAAUCCGGGUGAAUGGGAUGAAGAGUGUCAGAGGGCUUUCGAUAAGAUAAAGCAGUACUUGGCUAAUACCCUAGUCUUAUCACCUCCAAGUCCAGAUAGGCCAUUGAUAUUGUAUCUAACAGUGUUGGAGAAUUCCAUGGGAUGCGUAUUGGGCCAACAUGAUGAGACAGGAAAGAAAGAAAGGGCAAUAUACUACCUCAGUAAAAAAUUUACCGAUUGCGAAAUUAGGUACUCAUCAAUUGAGAAGUUGUGUUGCGCUCUAAUCUGGGCAACCCGAAGACUGAGGCAGUAUAUGUUGUAUCACACGACUUGGCUGAUUUCAAAGUUAGAUCCUUUAAAGUAUAUGAUGGAAUCGACUGCUUUGAACGGGAGAAUGGCUAGAUGGCAGAUCUUGCUUUCAGAAUUUGAUAUAGUAUAUGUCAGUCAGAAGGCCAUAAAGGGAAGUGCAAUAGCCGAUUUCCUAGCUAGUAGAGCCUUGGAGGACUAUGAAUCUUUGAAUUUUGAUUUUUCAAACGAGGACUUGAUGUAUGUGGCGAAUACUGAAGAAAAUCCUCAAAUGGAUCACGUAUGGAAGUUAAAUUUUGAUGGAGCUUCAAAUGCUACGGGUAAUGGAGUUGGGGCAGUUUUGGUAUCCCCAAGUGGAGAUCAUUAUCCUGUUGCUAGCAAGUUGGACUUCGAUUGUACAAAUAACAUGGCAGAAUAUGAAGCAUGUAUUAUGGGCAUUCGUGCAGCCAUUGAACGGAACAUCAAAGUACUGAGAGUAUACGGGGAUUCAGCGUUGGUGAUAUACCAACUCAAAGGGGAGUGGGAGACUAGGGAUCCUAAGCUAAUCGGUUAUAGAAAAUUAGUUCUUGAAUUGGCUGAGGAGUUUGACGAUAUCACCUUCUAUUACCUCCCAUGGGAGGAAAACCAAAUGGCUGAUGCUUUAGCUACUCUAGCUUCGAUGAUUCAGGUGAAUAGACUUGAGGCAAUGAGGCCUGUUCAGAUGAGUAUCUCUGAGACCCCGGCUAAUUGCUGCAAUAUUGAGGAGGAGGGAAAAGAUGAUUGUCCUUGGUAUCAGAGUAUCCUACAAUAUGUGAAGAAUCGGGAAUACCCUGAUCAAGCGACAGAGAAUGACAAAAGAACUCUGAGAAAGAUAGCCAUUGAAUAUGUCUUAGAUGGAGAAGUGUUAUAUAAAAGAAGGAAGGAUCAAGUACUGUUAAGGUGUGUGGAUGCUGUGGAAGCCAAGAAAAUUUUGGAAGAAGUCCAUGAGGGUAUUUGUGGGACGCACGCCAGUGGUUUCACGAUGGCCAGACAGAUCAUGAGAUUUGGGUACUAUUGGCCCACCAUGGAAGGAGAUUGUAUUGAUUAUGCCAGGAAGUGCCACAAAUGCCAAAUUUACGGAGACAAAAUACACGUGCCCCCUUCACCUCUUCACGUCAUGACCUCUCCUUGGCCGUUUUCCAUGUGGGGUAUGGAUGUUAUUGGGCCAAUAUCACCAAAGGCUUCUAAUGGGCAUCGCUUCAUCUUCGUAGUAAUUGAUUACUUUACUAAGUGGGUGGAGGCUGCUUCAUAUGCAAAUGUCACGAAAGCAGUAGUCAGCAAAUUCUUGAAGAAGGAGAUCAUUUGUCGAUAUGGAAUGCCUGAGAGGAUCAUAUCCGACAAUGCGAUGAACUUGAAUAAUAGCACAAUAGCUGAAGUUUGUAGCAAAUUUAAAAUUAAGCAUCAUAACUCAUCGCCGUAUCGUCCCAAAAUGAAUGGUGCAGUGGAGGCGGCCAAUAAGAACAUUAAAAGGAUUGUGGGGAAAAUGACUGAAACCUACAAGGAUUGGCAUGAGAAAUUAUCAUUUGCUCUCCUUGCCUAUCGAACAUCUGUUAGAACUUCUACUGGGGCAACGCCUUUUUCUCUGGUUUAUGGAAUGGAGGCAGUAUUACCCAUUGAAGUUGAAAUCCCUUCUCUACGGGUGUUAUCUGAGCUACAGUUGGAUGAAGCCGAUUGGAUCCAAUCUCGGUACGAUCAGUUGAACCUAAUAGAAGAAAAGAGGCUAAAAGCUAUUCACCAUGGGCAAAUGUACCAGAAACGAAUGAUGCGAGCCUAUAAUAAAAAGGUUCGCCCCCGAGAAUUUCGUGAAGGGGACUUGGUACUAAAAAAGAUUCUUCCUAUGCAAAAGGAUUUUAGAGGAAAAUGGAUGCCAAAUUGGGAAGGCCCUUAUGUUGUAAAGAAGGCCUUUUCUGGUGGAGCUUUGAUCCUAUGCGAGAUGGAUGGCAAAAGUUUACCAAAUCCUGUAAACGCAGACUCCGUCAAGAAAUACUUCACUUGAAAGAAAGAGGAACCAAAGUGAAAACCCGUGAAGGGCGCUUUGCUUCCUAAAAAAAAAAAAACUUUAGAGAGGCUAAGGUGAAAACCCGUAAAGGGCACUUUGAGACCAAAGAGGGCUUGAGUCGAAAACCCGGAAAAGGCGACUCAAGUACUGGGCAGGAUUGGAACAUCAGGAUUUGAGCGGAUCAAAUUUUGAUCGGGGGCAUAUGAUUAUCUUGCUUUACUUGAACCAAUAAGAAAGGAUAUGCAACGUCUUGGAUCAUGGACAGAGUAUUGCAGAUCUCCUGAACACAUGUCAAACUCAGAAGGGUCUUCGGAAAGUUUGUACAGAGAAACUCAAGCUGCGAUAACUAGGGCACCUAGUUCUUAUGUGUAUUCUUGAAAAUACAUUCUUUUAUUUUCUUUCUUUCUUCCUUUCUUUUUGUGAAAACGCACAUUCUCAAUCCACUUCUUUGUUAACCUUCUUUCGCCAUCUUUGAUGUUUUAUUCGAGUUAUGAUCGGAACUAGCUUUAUUCUUAUCCAGUGUUGUGAUCUUUUUGCAAAUAUGUUGCAUAGGAAUAAUGAUUAACAAACUAAUAAAACUUUCAGGAAAGAAGUUUUGCACAUUACUCUGGAAAAUUUCUAAAUAAUAUAGGGACCUGAAACAUGACUAUUGUUUAGAAAAUACCAAGUUUAAAGGGUGAAAUAUCUAAGAAGGAAGAGUCUAAGUUAAAGACUAUCCUUUCAGAUUUUGUUGUCUAAACAUUGAUUGAACAAAAUGACAAGCUGUCGUGUUACAAAGCUUAAAUGAACAAGCAAGCAAUGAUCAUCAGGCAAUAGGAAGAGGUUACCUCGGAGAAGAGAGCCUUCACUUGCGCAUAAGACUUUGGUACGACACCUUGAGAAUGGUGUAGGAAACCAGAACGGUUCAGAUCCUAUAUCCCCGAAUUGUGAUAAAAGAGGACAGAGGAAAAGCCACAUAUUUCUACCCUUAGAUUACUGUGAGAGAAUGAUGGUACAAAUUUUGGCAUCCCAGUGGAUAUAACUUUGAGGUUUACAAUGGGGACAGUCUGGCUAAAUGUUUCUUCAGAAAAGUCAGUCAAGCGAGAAGGCGUUGAAGCACGUCAGUCACAAAGCCUUAGUAAACUUCGAGUAAUGACAACCUAAGCGAGAUCAUUCUCGGAAAAAUAAAAUUCUGCAUUCAUGCAAACACCAUUCACAUAUGUCUAGUUAGGAGCAUUUGUUUCAUUUUGAUCAUGUCAUCCUAAUCAUUAGGCAUAAUUAGGUUUAUUAUACAGGUCUUAUCUCCCUGAGUUUACAGUGGAGUAGACCGAAAAAUUUCAGAUCUUAUCUCCCUGAGGUUACAGUGGAGCAGAUUGAAGCCAGAGAUCUUAUCUCUCUGAAAUUACAGCGGAGUAGAUUGAAGCUAGUAAUCCUAUCUCUCUGAAGUUACAGUGGAGCGGAUUAAAAUAAAGGAUCUUAUCUCUCUGAAGUUACAGUAGAGUAGAUCACAUCAGAUUGAAGCCAGAGAUCUUAUCUCCCUGAGAUUACAGUGGAACAGACCGAAAAAUUUCAGAUCUUAUCUCCCUGAGGUUACAGUGGAGCAGAUUGAAGCCAGAGAUCUUAUCUCUCUGAAAUUACAGCGGAGUAGAUUGAAGCUAGUAAUCCUAUCUCUCUGAAGUUACAGUGGAGCGGAUUAAAAUAAAGGAUCUUAUCUCUCUGAAGUUACAGUAGAGUAGAUCACAUCAGAUUGAAGCCAGAGAUCUUAUCUCCCUGAGAUUACAGUGGAACAGACCGAAAAAUUUCAGAUCUUAUCUCCCUGAGGUUACAGUGGAGCAGAUUGAAGCCAGAGAUCUUAUCUCUCUGAAAUUACAGCGGAGUAGAUUGAAGCUAGUAAUCCUAUCUCUCUGAAGUUACAGUGGAGCGGAUUAAAAUAAAGGAUCUUAUCUCUCUGAAGUUACAGUAGAGUAGAUCACAUCAGAUUGAAGCCAGAGAUCUUAUCUCCCUGAUGUUGCAGUGGAACAGACUGAAAACAUAAAUUUCGUUCCCUUGCGAAGGAGAUUAAAGCUACAAAUUAGAUCGAAGCAACAAGGCACAGUGGACGGAAUAAGGCUACCUGAAGAAGAGAAGUGUCAAAAAAAAGUCAAGACUCGGCAAGACCAGGCAAAAUUGGCCCUUUUGAUGUCUUUGCUCUAUUCUCGUUACACGAAAAUGAGCAAAGAGGGGCAACUGUAAAAGUCCAUUUUUGCCCGGGCCCAUACCAACAAAAUAACCCAAAUAAUAAAACCCAAAACCUAAAAUCAACCUAGCCCAACAUCCAAGCCCAAUCCCAAAACCCUAGACUCCCACUUGCCUCUUCCCAUUCUCCCAUGUUGUCUGCCACCAGCACCACUCCCACUCUCCCAUGCUGUCUGCCACCACCAUGCCUUUUGCCGCACCUGCAAACAAGCAAAGGAAAAGGACAAAAAAUGGAGCAAUAAACAUUAACAGAAUAUUGUAUUUUUGGCUAUAAAAGCCACAAGCAAAAUCGGACCAAAAAAAAAAGAAGAGAAACAAAAAAAAGAGAAGGGGACUUUUGUAACAAAAAAGAGAAGAUUCGGCUUUUGAAAAAAUUGAAAGAAAUAAAAAAGGGGCUUUAGAAGGUGAUUCACCUUGUUUUUUUUUCGUUUUCUUUAUUUUCGUUCUAUUUCGGUUUUUCUAUAGUAUUUCUUUCUCUUUUUUAUUAUCAACACACAUAUAUAUAAGAUAAAAAAAAUAAAAGUAAAAAGGAGUUUACCUGUUUCCGGCGGCGGUGGAAAGAGGAAGAACCGAAAGGUCUCUUUCGAUUUUGGCCCUUUUCGCCGGGAUUUCGGCUUUUCUAACCCCAGAUCUGGACCCUAUUCGCAAAAAGGAGAAAAAGGGAGCUUUUUUUUGGUUUUCCGGCCACCGCGAACGGCGGCGUCGUCGCCGGCGUCCGGCGACCGGUGCGGUGGUCGAUGGCCGGCAAAGGGGGCUCUUCCUCUCUUUUUACGGACACAAGAACAAUAAAAACAUAAACUUUGAAUCGGAGAAGUAAUUUUCAUUUCUUUAUUUUUGUGUGUUUUUACAUCUAGUUUGAUUUCUUUUUAUUUCUUUCUACUUACGAAAAUAAAAACAAAAGAAAUAAGGAGAGGAGAAACUCACCGGAGUUGGCCGUGACCGUGCCGCCGGGGUUUUUUCUUCCAUCGUCGGCCGUCGGUCUUGGUGGCGUGGUGGCACUCAAGGUGUUAAGAAACCCAAGUGUUGGGUGUUUAAAAAAAAUGGUGGUUUGAAAAAAAGCAGAGCCUUUUUC
rnacentral:lncRNA from 1 species